GCCCGAGUGCUGGAAUGGUAGACAGGCUACCUUGAGGUGGUAGUGUCCGCAAGGGCGUGGAGGUUCGACUCCUCUCUCGGGCA
rnacentral:tRNA from 1 species